GACGAACGCUGGCGGCGUGCUUAACACAUGCAAGUCGAGCGGUAAGGCCCUUUCGGGGGUACACGAGCGGCGAACGGGUGAGUAACACGUGGGUGACCUGCCCUUAGCUCUGGGAUAAGCCUGGGAAACUGGGUCUAAUACCGGAUAUGACCUCAUGACUCAUGUUGUGGGGUGGAAAGCCUUGUGCGGCUAGGGAUGGGGCCCGCGGCCUAUCAGCUUGUUGGUGGGGUAAUUGCCACCAAGGCGACGACGGGUAGCCGGCCUGAGAGGGCGACCGGCCACACUGGGACUGAGACACGGCCCAGACUCCUACGGGAGGCAGCAGGUGGGGAAUCUUGCGCAAUGGGCGAAAGCCUGACGCAGCGACGCCGCGUGAGGG
rnacentral:rRNA from 1 species